UACGGAGGAUGCAAGUGUUAUCCGGAAUGAUUGGGCGUAAAGGGUCCGCAGGUGGCAUUGUAAGUCUGCUGUUAAAGAGUCUAGCUCAACUAGAUAAAAGCAGUGGAAACUACAAAGCUAGAGUAUGGUCGGGGCAGAAGGAAUUCCUGGUGUAGCGGUGAAAUGCGUAGAUAUCAGGAAGAACACCGGUGGCGAAGGCGUUCUGCUAGGCCAAAACUGACACUGAGGGACGAAAGCUAGGGGAGCAAACAGG
rnacentral:rRNA from 1 species